rnacentral:rRNA from 1 species
AGCAGCCGCGGUAAUUCCAGCUCCAAUAGCGUAUAUUAAAGUUGUUGCAGUUAAAAAGCUCGUAGUUGAAUUUCGGGGUCAGUGAGUUGGUCGUGCCACUGGUAUGCACUGGCUUUACUGAUUCCUCCUUCUUGAAGAAUUGUAAUGCUAUUAAUUUAGUGUUGCAGGGAAACAGGACUGUUACUUUGAAAAAAUUAGAGUGUUUAAAGCAGGCUA